UCUUUUUCAUUUUCGGUAAUGGUUCUUGCCAUCUGAAAUAGUUGCUAGCCUUGUGAUGAAGGGACAUAAACCCAAUUCCAACUACUAUGAAACUUUUAAGGAAAAGGUACCUGGCAUUUGCGAUGAAUAUCAACUAAAACUAUCUGAAUCUGUGAUCACCUACAAUUAUUACCAAACUGGAGUUUAAUCGUUUUGUAAAUGAGAAGGAUAUAUACUCGAUGCUAAUAUAUAGUUGCUCUUGUUACUAAAAUUACCUUUAGGGGUCUGUUUGACUAAUGCAAUGCCCCUAAGCAAGGAGUUGUUGGCUACUAGCAAACAAAAAAUGCACCAUUGAUAAUCUCCUCAGUAUCACUGGUGCUAG
rnacentral:lncRNA from 1 species